rnacentral:rRNA from 1 species
UACGUAGGCAGCGAGCGUUGUUCGGAGUUACUGGGCGUAAAGGGUGUGUAGGCGGUUCUUUUAAGUUUGGUGUGAAAUCUCCCGGCUCAACCGGGAGGGUGCGCCGAAUACUGAGGGACUAGAGUAUGGGAUGGGAAAGUGGAAUUCCUGGUGUAGCGGUGAAAUGCGUAGAUAUCAGGAGGAACACCUGUGGUGUAGACGGCUUUCUGGACCAUAACUGACGCUGAGACACGAAAAGCGUGGGUAGCAAACAGG